GACGAACGCUGGCGGCGUGCUUAACACAUGCAAGUCGAACGGAAAGGCCCUUCUCGUGGGGUAUUCGAGUGGCGAACGGGUGAGUAAAACGUGAGUAACCCGUGCCCGAGUCUGGGGUAAAAUCAGGAAACUGGGGCUAUUAUCGGAUAGGAGAUCCUGCGGCACGUGGGGGGUUGGAAAGAUUGGGGGGUUGGGGGUGGGCACGCGGGUUAUCAGCUUGUUGGGGGGGGAGUGGCUUACAAAGGGUUUGACGGGUAGCCGGCCUGAGAGGGUGACCGGGCACAUUGGGACUGGGAUACGGCCCUGACUCCUCCGGGAGGCAGCAGUGGGGAAUUUUGCACAAUGGGUGGAAGCCUGAUGCAGCAACGCCGUGUGCGGGAUGACGGCCUUCGGGUUGUAAACCGCUUUCGCUCAUGACGAAGCUUUGUGUGACGGUAGUGGGUAAAGAAGCACCGGCUAACUACGUG
rnacentral:rRNA from 1 species